GUUGCUGUACCUGCCACCACCUUCUCAACGACUGAAGACUGAACCGAAAGUCUGACCAAAUCUUGGUAAGCAUGUCGGGACAAAAGACAAAGAAGAAGACAAUCAAAGACAGCUCGGCUGGUUUCAGCUUGCUAUUGUACUGCAGCGAGUGGAAUGAAGUGACUAUGAAGAGACCCCCUCCUCCCUUUAUAUCUCUCACAUUCUCACACUGUAGCCUCCCCUCCCAUUUGUCACCCUAUCUUUCACAUCCAUAUCAAGUAACUCCCUUGUGUUGCCCCCAAAAGCUCAACCCCCCUUUGACAUUUCAAUUAAAUGUGCUGAAUUAAAUAAAGGAUUCCAACACAA